rnacentral:lncRNA from 1 species
UCUCCACAACCUUUUUAGAAUCCAAAAUAUCUAGAUUUAAUUUAAAGGGGGUAAUUCUUGUAUUCUCUUUGCAAUUUAAUUAGAAAAUCUACAUUGAUUUUCCUUCCAACAGAAUUUACCUCAAACUCAAUGGGUUAGAACUGUUGAGCCAAUAUUACUAUGAAUAGAAUUAACUCCAUUAUCCUCCAAAUCUUUCUUCACUAAGAUUCUUAAUGUUUAACAUCAAUGCUACAUGUGAUAACUCAUAUAAGCAUCUCAAAAUCGAAAUCUCUACUCAAUAUUGUAUUUUACAAUGACAAAAAUUUCUGGUUAGAUCAGAAACCUAGACUUGAGUUCAAGUU